CUCAGGCACUGCAGCAGAAACCUUAUGUGACUCUUUAAAAGAAUCCAAAGUCUGAGCCAGGUUAUCCUAAAACCAGGACAGGAACGAUUGCAUAUCCUUUUGUUUGGAAUUUUCCAAAGGCAUUGCUGCAUAUUGAUUACACACUUUAUUCAUAGUGCCAUCCAAUAGGGGGGUGGAUCAAUCACUGCAAACUAAAUGUUUGGCUUUGGAAGAGG